UACAUAGUAGCCGAAGGGACACUGAAAAAAUUGGAACGAUAUAGAGAAGAUUAGCAUGACCCGCGCAGGUUGACACUCAUAAAUCGGGAAAUGGUCCAAAUAUUU
rnacentral:snRNA from 1 species